rnacentral:rRNA from 1 species
AUUGAACGCUGGCGGAAGGCUUUACACAUGCAAGUCGAACGGUAGAGGGGGCAACCCCUUGAGAGUGGCGAACGGGUGAGUAAUAUAUCGGAACGUGCCCAGUCGUGGGGGAUAACGUAGCGAAAGUUACGCUAAUACCGCAUACGAUCUAAGGAUGAAAGCGGGGGACCGUAAGGCCUCGCGCGAUUGGAGCGGCCGAUAUCAGAUUAGGUAGUUGGUGGGGUAAAGGCUCACCAAGCCAACGAUCUGUAGCUGGUCUGAGAGGACGACCAGCCACACUGGAACUGAGACACGGUCCAGACUCCUACGGGAGGCAGCAGUGGGGAAUUUUGGACAAUGGACGCAAGUCUGAUCCAGCCAUUCCGCGUGCAGGAUGAAGGCCCUCGGGUUGUAA